rnacentral:rRNA from 1 species
UACAGAGGUCUCAAGCGUUGUUCGGAUUCAUUGGGCGUAAAGAGUGCGUAGGCGGCGCGGUAAGUCGGGUGUGAAAUCUUGGAGCUUAACUCCGAAACUGCAUUCGAUACUGCCGUGCUUGAGGACUGGAGAGGAGACUGGAAUUUACGGUGUAGCGGUGAAAUGCGUAGAUAUCGUAAGGAAGACCAGUGGCGAAGGCGGGUCUCGUGGACAGUUCCUGACGCUGAGGCACGAAGGCCAGGGGAGCAAACGGG